rnacentral:lncRNA from 1 species
CAAACUGGGGAUUACAUUUUGAUGACUGGAGGUCUACUACUGGAUACUGUGUUUAUUUCGGACAUACACCUGUGUCAUGGUGUACGAAGAAACAACAGGUUGUUGCUCGGUCUACUGCUGAGGCAGAAUACCGAAGUCUUGCUGCAGUUACUAGUGAGGUUACGUGGCUUUUGUCGCUACUUAAAGAAUUACAUGCUCAGUCUAAUAGUGUUCCUCAAAUUUGGUGUGACAGUUCUGGGGCGGUUGCAGUUGCUGCAAAUCCUGUUCUUCAUUCAAAGUUUAAGCAUGUUGAGUUAGAUUUAUUUUUUGUUCGUGAAAAGGUUGCUGAUGGCACGGUUGCUGUUGGAGAAGUUCCAGCGUGUGAUCAGGUCGCUGAUGUUCUCACUAAGCCCAUUUCGUCAUCGAGUUUUACUCGUUUUCGGAGUUUUCUACGGGUCUUGCCUGUAGAGAAGAUGGAUGAAUAUUAGAGAAUAGAAGUAGUUAGUCAGUUAGUGAGGUUGUUACUCAAUUCAGAAAGCCUUUAUAUACUGUACAUUAAGAAUUAAGAGGUAGGCAAAUUUGAAUAAACAACAAGAAGUUUAUUCUAUCAUUUCACUCUCUGCUUCUUUCUGUUUGGCUAGUUGUUUUCUUACUUUACCUAGUUCUUUCA